AACCAUCAAACCUUUUUUUUUUCUUUUCUCACCGCAUUCUCGUCUUCUCAUUUUCUCCGUCAGAGGAGGAACCAAACCGAUGACGGACGACCCUAUUCGUCGCCGUCUCUGUUACUCCCGUCGUCGACCCAAAACGCCGUCGAAGCUGAUUUAGUGAUGGAACCUAACGAUCAGUUUCACCGACUGAAAACGGCAGCGUAAGUGACGUGGAGAAGUUUCUCUGCGAGCGAUUGGUGGACCAGUCGCAGCCGAUCUCAGAGCGAUUCAGAGCUCUCUUCUCUCCUCGCAACUUGAAAGGCCCCGGACCUCGCAACGCUCUAAUCCUGGCAGCAGAAUCUCUCGGAGCCAUUGGUUUAGCUGGUAAUGCUGAGAUUUUGAAGCAAAGUUUGGUUCUGGAUCCAGCACAAGAGGUUCGGGAAACGUGUGAGUUAGCUCUCAAAAGGAUUGAAGAUCUGAGUAGUGUUGAUGCGGAGAAGGAGUUAGACACGACAAAGACGGCUCAUGCUGCUGCUUUCUCCUCUGUACACCAGCUGAGGUUCUUCUAAACUUGACCAACUCUAAAUCUUCUAGAUGGUUUUUCAGUUUGUGAUAGCUUAUUUGAUUAACAGCAGAUUCUUCCAGAUGAAAUUAAAGGCAUGUAUGAGAGAUAUGCUGCACUUUUCGCUCUAAGUAAUCAUGGGGGAGAGUAAGCUGUUUCUGCCAUAGUUGAUUCUUUUGAGUGCUAACAGUGCCCUUUUACGUAUUCCUUCGUUUGAUGACUUUCAGUUUGUUCAUGAACUUGCAUAAGUGUUUGUGUUUGUUAAGAGCUUGAAUCUUCAAUCUUUGCUUCAUUGA